UACGUAGGCAGCGAGCGUUGUUCGGAAUUACUGGGCGUAAAGAGUGUGUAGGCGGUGCUCUAAGUUCGGCGUGAAAUCUCCUGGCUCAACUGGGAGGGUGCGCCGGAAACUGGAGUGCUUGAGCGUGGGAGAGGAAAGCGGAAUUCCUGGUGUAGCGGUGAAAUGCGUAGAUAUCAGGAGGAACACCAGCGGCGAAGGCGGCGCUCUGGGCCGGAACUGACGCUGAGGAGCGAAAGCGUGGGUAGCAAACAGG
rnacentral:rRNA from 1 species